AUUGAACGCUGGCGGCAGGCCUAACACAUGCGAGUCGAGCGGAUGAAGGGAGCUUGCUCCUGGAUUCAGCGGCGGACGGGUGAGUAAUGCCUAGGAAUCUGCCUGGUAGUGGGGGAUAACGUCCGGAAACGGGCGCUAAUACCGCAUACGUCCUGAGGGAGAAAGUGGGGGAUCUUCGGACCUCACGCUAUCAGAUGAGCCUAGGUCGGAUUAGCUAGUUGGUGGGGUAAAGGCCUACCAAGGCGACGAUCCGUAACUGGUCUGAGAGGAUGAUCAGUCACACUGGAACUGAGACACGGUCCAGACUCCUACGGGAGGCAGCAGUGGGGAAUAUUGGACAAUGGGCGAAAGCCUGGUCCAGCCAUGCCGCGUGUGUGAAGAAGGUCUUCGGAUUGUAAAGCACUUUAAGUUGGGAGGAAGGGCAGUAAGUUAAUACCUUGCUGUUUUGACGUUACCAACAGAAUAAGCACCGGCUAACUUCGU
rnacentral:rRNA from 1 species